CGUCUAUGCGCUCAUAACGCGUCGUCUGUUUUCCAACUAAAUCGAGCAAAAUAAAAUAUAUUUCUACAAAUUCUAAAAAAUAAUUUUUGAUCAAAAAAUAUUCACAAAGCAAAGUUUGCGUAUUCGAAAUAAAAUUAUUUUUAAUUCAUGAAAUUCUCACACAAAGUUUCGAAUAUAUGUGCCACUAAUUAAAUCAAUGAAAGCUGGUGCCCAGUGAAGUUUGAAAUAAAAUAAAAUUAUAUGUAAUAAGCAUAAAAGUGGAAAAUUAAAUUAAAUAAAUUUGAGUUUGAGCUCUUUCGCAAUGCGUCGUGUGUCGCUUGCGUGCAACAACGUCGGAAAGUGACGCGCCCUGAGUGUGUGCAACGGAAGUGGGAAAGUGCGCCCGUACGCAACCGAAUAUACACACAUACACACACAUAUCUGCGUGCAUAUAUGUAUACCAGUUUCAUAAAAGAAUAAAUAAAAUAAAAAAAAUCUUAAGUAAAAAUAAAAGUUGCUUAUGUUUGCUGUCAACCUUUUGUGCCGUCAAGUGUAGCGAAAAUCAUUUUCUUCGAAAAUUUAUUGCAGUCCAUGAGCCGAUAGUCAGUCGGUGGAUAUAGUCGGCGCACUUGCACAAUUUUGAGCGACAUUGGAAUUUCGUAAAGCCAGCAGUCAAAUAAAAAAUAUAAAAUACAAAAAACACGAGAAUAAAAAAAUCAAAUAAAACGCAAAUGUCUGGGAACUUGGGUGUCGCGCUAAGAGAAUUUAUUUAAUUGCUUAUUUUUAUAAGCUAUAAAGUUGUGCGGAUUAAAAAUAGUCGCCGUAAAAUGGCUAAGACGCAAAGGGGAAGAGUAGCCAACGCAUUCGCAUAUUGACUGCAAUUGUUGCUAGUCACCCGCAUACAAUACAAUAACAACAACAAGCGCAAUUGACAUUUACAAAUGUGUAAGUGUACGUUUUGUGAGCUUGAAAGCACACAUGUGAAGCAGACAACGAACAUAGUUGACAACAAACAAACACACAUUUGAAUGCACGCUCUGAUACAGCAACAAACACGAGUCGGGAAACGCGCGAUGUUCAAGACUUUGAUUUACGCAAUUUUCGUUCGCAAGAAAAGUACUUCUGCUGCCGACGGCAACAACAACAUACAAUUCAACACCAACACCAACGCCAACAACAACAACUGUAGUAUCAUCGGCAUCGCUAAUAUUAGCUUUGGCAUUCUUAUAGGCGUUGCCAUUGCAAUUUUAAACGCCAACAUUCGUUACGCGCCUGCACCGACAAUUGCCACUUAAGUGCAGAAUACGAGAAGUUACAAUACACAUAAAUACGCGUUCGUCGAAGUUCAGCACCCCAAGGAAGUUGCAUACGGUUUGAUUUCGUUGCGACGCUUUUGUAUAAAAAAAUCAACUUGAUGUAUCAGCUGUGCCGAUUGUAUCAACGCACACAUAAAGAUUUAACAAAAGUUCAUACAAAAUGGCGAUUAAUAACACCACCCGAUCGACGACGACUAGAGAUGCGCUACGAUAAACGUUACGAAGUGAGUGUCACCGUCAACGAGUGAUUUCAAAAAAAUCUCGACGAAAAGAAAAAUUUUAAAUUUAUAUACAAAUAUUAGCGCAGUUAUGUACGAAAGUAGUGCGUAAAGGAAAGAAAAUAUUACCAGUGCUGGUGCAGUUCCAAAUAUUAGUAUAGUGUUGCAACAUACGCCUACUAUGUAAAUUAUAGUGUUACUAAAAGAAAGAGUGUGUUGAAUUAUCCCAAAUAUAUAUCGGUUAAAAAAUUAUUGAAUUAGAAAAGUGUAGCGCUAAGUUUUCGCUCGCUUUCGCUGUCAACCAGCCAUUAGUGUUAGUCUAAAAUACAGCAAAGCGCGAAAUCAGCAUUGAAAAUCCUUUAAUAUUUCACCUACAACAAAAGCCAAUAAAAUUUUCCUCAUGUGGCAUCCACUUGCACGAGAUUUGGCUACACUCUUACAAGAAGCCGUGCAAUACACACGCAACUUGGUUGUGUCUAAGAUGUGUUCCCGCAACAUUAAGAUCUCGGUGGUGCUGUUUCUUGUCUUGAUUCCACUUAUCACAGCUUUGCCACACAACAACCACAAUCUGUCGAAGCGAAGCAAUUUCUUCGACUUAGAGUGCAAAGGCAUCUUCAACAAAACAAUGUUCUUCCGCUUGGAUCGCAUUUGCGAAGACUGCUAUCAACUUUUCCGCGAGACAAGUAUACACCGACUAUGCAAGAAAAACUGCUUCGAUUCGAAAUGGUUUGGAGAAUGCCUGAAAGUGCUUUUAAUACCAACGGAAGAGAUUUCGAAAUUACAGCACUUUAUUAAAGUGAUUAACGGCUCUCCAAUAUCAUUCCCACAGUCGGUCCCAACAUAACUUUAGUUUAGAUGCAAAACUUUCCAAUUUCCAAUUAAUUUGUACUUAUUUAUUAUUGUAUUUUACGAUGAUUUAAGUUUCAUUUGAGUUUUAUGAUUUUCUGUUAUUUAUUACAUACAGAUGUAAUUAAUUAUGUUUAUGCUUAAAAUAUGCUUAAUUUAUUUUAAAUAACAAAACGGAACCUUAAAAGCUAACUAAACAGAUAUAAAUGAAACUCACACCCACACAAACACACACUCAUAUAUACAAUAGAAAAAACAAAAAAAAACUUUGCAGAGAAGAGAAUGAAAUUCAAAAUAUUUAUAAACUUAUUUAUUCUAUAAGUAAAGUUAGUAACUCUUUAAACGGAGACAAAAGCAAAAGUGAAAAAUAUUGUAAACUAUAAACUCAAAGUUUUAGAAGUGGAAAAAGAAAAAAACUAAAGCAAAAAUUAAAUAUAACGGACUUGCAUAAAUACGCUUUUUGUAUUUGCACUAAGUUAAACAGAAAAUGUGGAGUCUAGAGAAAAUUUUGCACAAAAACAUUCGACAAUCAAUAGAAAUACAACGCAGUACUGUAGAGUAACAGUAACAUUACACAAAUCUGUAGUUGAGCAGAGCGUCAUACCUUACAUAAAACUGUAGAAUAACAAAGCUGCUUCUCUUAACUUUAUAUAAAACUGUAAAAUAGCAUAAUUUCAAGUGCAGUGCUGUUAACUUUAUAUAAAACUGCAACUUUUAAACUGCAUUGCUGUUAACUACACAGUAAUCUGUAGUAUAACAGAUUUUCAAAGGCAGUUCUGUUAAGCUUACAUAAAACUGUAGUUUAACUGAGCUUCAAGGACAGUACUGCUAACCUAAUUCCAAACUACGCAACAUCACUUUAACAGCUUAAACGCAAGCAUAGAACAUGUCUCGGGAAUAUUAAAUACUAGAAAGUAUUGAUUUUGUAUUUAUGAAUAUAUUCGUACUUUUUUCAAUUUUUUUAAACGAAAAUCACCAAGCAUAACUUUGAGUUUUUACUUUACAUGUGUUUGUUAGAAUAUACAAGUGUAUAUGUAGGUAUAAAUGCAUGAAGAAGAAAUGUUAAACUAUUAUUGUAGUAAGUGCUUUCCGAUAAGUAUUUAUCUAGAAAAAAUGUUAUUUUUAUAAAUUAAAAACAAAAAAAUAAAAACAAAAUCAACUAACUAUUCCUUUAUACAUUUUGCAAUUUGUGAAAAGCACACAAAAAUCCAGUUAAACACAAAAAACACUAAUGAAAUUUUUCUCAACAACAACAAAAAUACAUACAAACACUUUCACAAAAAAAAUAUUCUACUCAGUGCAGUUACAUUCAGAAUGUACUACUAAGAUAGUUGAAGCACUUUUAAGAGUUUCUAAAUUUUUUAUAAAUCAAUACAUUUAUAUAUAAAUAUAAAUAUAUGCUAGAAUCGUUUACAAAAGCUAUGUACUAUAUUUAUAACAAAUUUAUAAAAAGAUAAACUGUGAAAAAAAAUUUCAAAAUAUUUUAAAAUCAAAAAAGAUGGCAUCGAGUUAUGGUAAUGAAACGUACACAUACAUACAUAGUGACUUACAUAUGUACACACAAACACCUAUAUGUUAUGUAUGUGCAUAUUGGUUAUGUAUGUGAAUGUUGAAGAAAUUUGUUAGCAAAUAUUUACUGAAAUUAUUGUGAUAAAGUAGUAGAACGACAAGCAAGCAUAAAUAUGUAGUAGAAAGUAUGUUGUAAAAACGGCGAAAACGAUCGAGACGAACCACAGCAACAAUAACGCCGACCAAGCGCACAAGCAACUGGCGUAAGCUGGCCCUGGCAACACCACAGUGCGAGACCGAGUGGCGAAACCACAAAGAGGAGCGUGUUUUGUGGCUACAAUCAUACAGAUCGCACGGAAAAACAACAACACACACAAGCAUUUGACAAAUAUUUGUCUGUGUGUGCUUGGCAGCGCUGCAUGGCUUUGAACUUGCAGGACUUGCGCAUCAACACAUUACAAUUACAAACACACACAUGUACCAAUGCCAUAACAACAACAAUAAUGAACUUUUGAUUUUUUGGCAAGAUUGCUUCGGUUCACAAUUCUUCGCCGCCUGCGUCGAGGCUCUACAACUGCACGAAGAGAUGGACAAAUACAAUGAAUGGCGCUUCACUCUCGGCAAGAAGUAAGGCGUUCCAUUCCAUUGCGUUCUACUUAUUUCAUUGUUGACGACCAGCGGACGACGUUCAUGCGACGGUUACAGUGUGUGGCUUGUAUGUACAUUUUGUGGAUUUUGCGAUUGUGUUGGCGUUUUUAUGAAGAUCAAACGACGACUUGGACUGGAACACUGAUAAUGUUAAAUCAACCGAAGGCGCUAAAUAAACAAGUGAUGUAUGAAUGUAUAACCGUAUAACGAAAAUGGCAAUGUGAUCCUGAUGAUGACAACGUUGACAAUGAAUGGAGUGAUGAUGAUGACUACGAUGACGAUGACGACACUGGCAGCUAAGCAUGAAUAUAAAUUAUGGAGUAAUGGAAAAUUGAAAAAAAAAAUAUUUAUGGAAUUUUAUAUUAAAUUUUGUUUGAAAAAAUACUUAGAAAGGAGUAAAAAAAGAACACACAUACAUAUUAUCAAUGGAAAUUUAAUGAAAUAAACUAAAGUAUUUAGCACAAAUGAAUAAAAUAAUUGAAAUUUAAAUUUAAAGCAAAAUUAAUCGUUUCAAAUUGCUCGUUGAUGUACUUUGAUGUCUGCCUAAUGCAAAGUUUUAGCAAAUUAAUUGAAAAAAAUUGAAAAAAAAAUAACAACAAAAUACGUAUUUUCUAUAUUUCUGUAUGUAUAGCUAUUUUUCAUGAAAUAAAACUAAGUUCAUGCACAAAAAUGUUAAAUGUAAAAAAUAAUUUCAAAAUGUGGGUAUUGAACAAAAUACAAUGUGUGUAAAGUUUUCGUUUCUUGCGUUAUAUAACCGUCUCCAGUGGUUAAUUUAAAGCUCUCAUAAUUUAAAAAAUUAUUUACAAAAAAAAAAAUAAU